rnacentral:rRNA from 1 species
GAUGAACGCUGGCGGCGUGCCUAAUACAUGCAAGUCGAGCGAACGGACGAGGAGCUUGCUCCUCUGACGUUAGCGGCGGACGGGUGAGUAACACGUGGAUAACCUACCUAUAAGACUGGGAUAACUUCGGGAAACCGGAGCUAAUACCGGGUAAUAUAUUGAACCGCAUGGUUCAAAAGUGAAAGACGGUUUUGCUGUCACUUAUAGAUGGAUCCGCGCUGCAUUAGCUAGUUGGUAAGGUAACGGCUUACCAAGGCAACGAUGCAUAGCCGACCUGAGAGGGUGAUCGGCCACACUGGAACUGAGACACGGUCCAGACUCCUACGGGAGGCAGCAGUAGGGAAUCUUCCGCAAUGGGCGAAAGCCUGACGGAGCAACGCCGCGUGAGUGAUGAAGGUCUUCGGAUCGUAAAACUCUGUUAUUAGGGAAGAACAAAUGUGUAAGUAACUGUGCACGUCUUGACGGUACCUAAUCAGAAAGCCACGGCUAACUACGUG